AGAGACUCUAACCAGUUAGCCAGUUAGUUGAUGUCUGCAGAUGGGGGCCAGGACCAAACUGGAUGGGGGUUCUGACUGCUGGGGUUUUACGUUUGCUAAGUGUUGUGUUCUUGGGAUCCCAGAGCCUCAAUGUCUUUAUCGGUCCAUGGUGAUAGCAUCAUCUCUGUGGCUCACCUAGCCCCGUGCCUGUUCGUGGAUCCUGACAGCCUGUGAUCCCUGGAGGGGGCCUGGGGAGUUGGGUCUGAAGUCAAACAGUGCAGAUAGAGCUGACGCCAUCUUCAACGCCCCCUCGGUCCCAGCGCCCCCCGCCCUGACAGAGCAGCUGCUGUUGUCAGGUUCAGUGUCCCUGGCUCCCGUGUUGCCUGCUUCUGAUGUUCCCUAACUGAAACCUGCCUCAUGUUCCUCCCUGGGCUGAUGGGCAGUUUCAGAGGACAGAGCUGUCUGCUCUGCGGCGCUGGUUGGCGUGUUCCAAACACUGUCCAGAUUCUUGCCUCUGCUUUCAAGGGGCGCUGGGACUCUAGAAACUGAGAGGACUUUGAGAAGUUAGUGGCUUGUCCCAGAUCGGCUAGGAGGUGGGACCCGGGAUUCCAACCCAGAAUGAAGGCCCCAGAGUCGGUCUAAUAAUACUCUGUUGGUGAUGAUCUUGGCUGUGACCUCUGCGGGAAAUGAGCCAUGGACCAAGCAGUGUGAGUGAUGGUUAGUGUUGUUUUAAGGUUGGCUGGUGGGUUGAUGGGUGUAUAUGCAUUAUUACACGUGAAUGGGCACAGGUAAAGUCAAAGAUGGCCAAGCGUAGACCAAUGGGGAGACUGUGUCAUGAACCAGGGGGGUGAAUCUCCUUUGGCAUAACUGUCAGCAAAUUAAAAAAUAUUAUAACUAGGCCGUUCUUUUUGUAGGAAAUGAGCAAAUAAAAAGAAACAAUUAUAUUCAUGUUUAAUGAUAUUAAUUGUAUAUAUAUGUAUACAUUUAUAUUCAUAAA